rnacentral:lncRNA from 1 species
GUGUCUUGUUGCCUGGCUGGUUCCUCUUCUUCUGUCCUCCCUUAAAAAACAAACAACAGUGCUCGCUGUUUGCCUGUGUCCCUAAGCAUUUUAUGGUUCCAACUCUGACAACUAGUUCUGUUCACGCCCUGUCCUGAACCUUUGGAACCAAUGAGUCUUGUUAGCUAGUGUCUACUUUGCUCCCUGCUUUGGACUAAGGGAGAAAUAAGUCCACUGACUUUCUCAUCAGAACUGAGCCAGGAGCAAGGGCCCUAGGGAGGGAUAUAUGGCAACAUACAGCAGCUUUGGGUUUGGGCAGAGCUGGGUUUGGAUCCCAGCCUGGUCAUCAUUACUAGCUACAUGACAUUGGAUAGGGCACUUCACCUCUAAAUCCUUCAGUUUCCACAUCCAUAAAAGGGGAUUAUAGGUUAUUUUUCAGGGAAGUUGAAGACUAAAUUCCUCUCAGUAAAUGGCCAUCAAUGGCAGAUGUAUGUACUAACCUGCAUCUGUAAUGCUACUAGAUGACUGACUAGUCUGGCCAACUUAUGUAUAUACCUGUGGCAAUUUCUGGAAGACACCUCCUUCACUGAAAGUGCAGCACUCAUCUGGCCCCAUGCUACUGGUCUAUCCUUUUCAAUUCCAUCAGCCUAAACAUAGCUCUGACAUUUUCUACUAGCCCAAACCCUUACCUACUCCUUCAGAGGGUAACUGGGAGUAACGGCAUGAAAUACAAUUAGUAUUCCUAUUGCUGGUUAGGCUCACGGUGAACCACAUGCAGAUUUGUACAGCUGAAACAACCUGCAGGCUCACUUAGCUUGGGCCUCGGAGUUUCAGUUGAGGAACUGGAGGCUCAGAGGGGAAGUGACAGAGGGGAGCAAAUACCAUUCAGUGGCCAGGUUGGGGCUAGAAUAUGAUCUCUAGAUUCUGUUUGAGGCCUCCCUCCCCAUACCUCCACUCUUCCUCUGCCAGGGCUGGCGCUGGGGAGUGCUGUCUUAAACACAGAGACCCCAGGCCCCUCCUGGCCAGGGGUCAAGUCCCCUUAAUCAGAAAUAGAGUUAACUCUGGCCAGGUGCAGUGGCUCAUGCCUGUAAUCCCAGCACUUUGGGAGUUCAAGUCAGGAGGAUCACUUGAGCCCAGGGGUUUGAAACCAGCCUGUGCAACAUAGUGAGACCUCAUCGCUACCAAAAAUAUUUAGCCAGGCAUGGUGGCACGCACCUAUAGUCCCAGUUACUCAGCUGAGGUGGGAGGAUUGUUUGUGCCCAGGUCGAGCAUGCAGUGAACCAUGAUUGUGCCAGUGUAUUCCAGCUUGGGUGACAGAGUCAGACCGUCUCCAACAACAAAAAGCAAUAGAAUAAGGGUAUUUUCUCCAUAUGCCCUCCCAACACCCCUGGGACAAGUUAUAAAAUACCCACUUGAUCAGAGAUUAUUAAGCUGACCUAAUUGGCUCUGAGGACUUCCACACUCACUGCAAUCUUGGUGAUUUUCCUGCAGAGCAACUGUUUGGCUGGCUGCAGCUUAAGUCUACUAGUAACUUGAUUCCCUUUCCAAACUGUCAACACGGCGGUAUCAUCAGGCUCAUUAAAAUUGAUGGCAGCACAAUGCAACAGAGCUGGAGAAAACUGGAAGGUCAUAGCAUAGUGUACAACCACUUUGUGCUUCUGUCUCACCUUUCUCUGGCGAUGGGGUAGGUAGUGUAGCCCAGAUAGGAAUGCCAGGAACAGGACGACUCAACUCUCCUGUAUCUGUCCUGGAGUAUGUACCAGGAGUCCUGGUGGUGGUGAUACAGGAGCGGGUAGGGUGCAGUAUCUUACACAAGGUGGUUUGUGCAUUUCCACGCUGGCCACUAUCAUUCUUCAGGUGCUGGACUCCUGAAAGAGGAGUGAACUAAAGGUAAGAGCAGAGGUUGAAAACAGGGCGCCAUGGACCGGGCACAGUGGCUCACACCUGUAAUUCUGGCACUUUGGGAGGCCAAGGUGGGUGGAUCACCUGAGGUCAGGAGAGUUCAAGACCAGCCUGACCAGUAUGUUGAAACCUCGUCUCUACUAAAAAUACAAAAAUUAGCCAGGCGUGGUGGCGGGCGCCUGUAGUCCCAGCUACUCG